rnacentral:rRNA from 1 species
UCAACGGAGCUUGCUCCACCGAAAGAAAAAGAGUGGCGAACGGGUGAGUAACACGUGGGUAACCUGCCCAUCAGAAGGGGAUAACACUUGGAAACAGGUGCUAAUACCGUAUAACACUAUUUUCCGCAUGGAAGAAAGUUGAAAGGCGCUUUUGCGUCACUGAUGGAUGGACCCGCGGUGCAUUAGCUAGUUGGUGAGGUAACGGCUCACCAAGGCAACGAUGCAUAGCCGACCUGAGAGGGUGAUCGGCCACACUGGGACUGAGACACGGCCCAGACUCCUACGGGAGGCAGCAGUAGGGAAUCUUCGGCAAUGGACGAAAGUCUGACCGAGCAACGCCGCGUGAGUGAAGAAGGUUUUCGGAUCGUAAAACUCUGUUGUUAGAGAAGAACAAGGAUGAGAGUAAAAUGUUCAUCCCUUGACGGUAUCUAACCAGAAAGCCACGGCUAACUACGUGCCAGCAGCCGCGGUAAUACGUAGGUGGCAAGCGUUGUCCGGAUUUAUUGGGCGUAAAGCGAGCGCAGGCGGUUUCUUAAGUCUGAUGUGAAAGCCCCCGGCUCAACCGGGGAGGGUCAUUGGAAACUGGGAGACUUGAGUGCAGAAGAGGAGAGUGGAAUUCCAUGUGUAGCGGUGAAAUGCGUAGAUAUAUGGAGGAACACCAGUGGCGAAGGCGGCUCUCUGGUCUGUAACUGACGCUGAGGCUCGAAAGCGUGGGGAGCGAACAGGAUUAGAUACCCUGGUAGUCCACGCCGUAAACGAUGAGUGCUAAGUGUUGGAGGGUUUCCGCCCUUCAGUGCUGCAGCAAACGCAUUAAGCACUCCGCCUGGGGAGUACGACCGCAAGGUUGAAACUCAAAGGAAUUGACGGGGGCCCGCACAAGCGGUGGAGCAUGUGGUUUAAUUCGAAGCACGCGAAGAACCUUACCAGGUCUUGACAUCCUUUGACCACUCUAGAGAUAGAGCUUCCCCUUCGGGGGCAAAGUGACAGUGGUGCAUGG